CCUACGGGAGGCAGCAGUGAGGAAUAUUGGUCAAUGGACGAGAGUCUGAACCAGCCAAGUAGCGUGAAGGAUGACUGCCCUAUGGAUUGUAAACUUCUUUUAUAAAGGAAUAAAACGAGGCACGUGUGCCUUGUUGCAUGUACUUUAUGAAUAAGGAUCGGCUAACUCCGGGCCAGCAGCCGCGGUAAUAAGGAGGAUCCGAGCGUUAUCCGGAUUUAUUGGGUUUAAAGGGAGCGUAGAUGGGUUGUUAAGUCAGGUGUGAAAGUGUGCGGCUCAACCGUAAAACUGCAAUUGAUACUGGCAGUCUUGAGUACAGUUGAGGUAGGCGGAAUUCGUGGUGUAGCGGUGAAAUGCUUAGAUAUCACGAAGAACCCCGAUUGCGAAGGCAGCUUACUAAACUGUGACUGACAUUGAUGCUCGAAAGUGUGGGUAUCAAACAGGAUUAGAUACCCGGGUAGUC
rnacentral:rRNA from 1 species